UGUCUGUGUGUGUCGGGGGGUGACCUCCUUAUCAUCGACCACUUUAUUUUCAACUGGCCCCUACGUCCCCCCACCCCCCUGCCUCUGCCUUAGACAAAUCCAAUAUAUCAGCAUGUGCAUUCUCUGGAAGAACAAGUCUGAAGAUUAUUCAUCAGGAGGACGGCAAGUGUGCCAUAACAACACCGUCAGAUGGGACGUGGAUGAAUAUUCCUUGGUUUUUGGCCUUAUUUUGUUCAAAUGAUAAGCCACACAAGAUUACAUAGUGGAUUGCGGUCACCUUGGCCACACGGUCUCCAUGGACAUGCAGAGCAUCCUAAAAAUACUGUCCAGGACAGUGGAGCUUCAUUAGUCACCAUGGGGAGUGUGGGCUGACCUACUAGCUUCUUCAAUCACUUCACUUGCUCCUUUCCCAGCCAUCAUCUCUGGUACCAAGGUGCAUUUUGGGACACUUUGUAAUUUCAGAGUAUUGUAAGCAUCUAUCUCUGCAUCUCAGAUUUAUGUACAAAUUUACCAUCAACGAGAGGAAAAAACUGACCUGUGUGUUGCACUUAGUGGCCCUGACCUAAAAUAAUAGCCAUAGUUUUUGCAUAGAACAAGAAAUAAAUUACAACAGGGGCAAAACUGUGAUUUAACAUUUUUCCAUUUGAUUCAUGAUAAAUAUGAAGUACUUUCACUGCACCUUAUUAAAAAGUGUGUUAUGAUGUCAGUUCAUCUUAGACCCAUUUCACUAUUGAACACUUAUGACUAACCCUCACUACUCUCCCUAAAUCCCACUAAACCAAAAGGACCAUAAGUCUCUAUGGAGCUUUGUACAAUGCACAGUGUACAAUAGACCACAAAACAACUGAUAAUCUAUACUUGAUGAAAAAGAAUAAUUUCUUAAGUAUUUGCUUUUGUUAUAUAAAAGGUUGUAAUAAUUAAAAAAUCAGUUCAAAUAUUUUGAAGACCCAACCCUGCCAGAGGUAAAUAAUUUUAUGUUAAAAACAUAUUUUAUGAAAUGAAUCUAAAACUGUUGUUUUUGCUUGUAUUCUCAUUUAUUGAAAAGAUUCUGGUGUGAUUUUCUUUAGUUUGUAGUUAGUAAUGUUUUAUGCCAAAGAAUUUAAUCAUUGUGACCCAUGUGACUUGUGAACAGCUCCUUUAGUCUCAUCACAUAUCAGACACUCUGGAGCAGAGGAAAACCUUCUUAAAACUAAUUUUAUGAAUGAUUUUUAUUUUGAAGUGGUCUUAUGUGGACUGAAAGAAGAGUGUGAUUCUGUUUACACAAACAUCAGAUCCACGGCCUCAGUCAGCCUCACUCGUAUCUACAAUGUGCCUAAAGUUAAAAAUGAAGCAAUCAUUAUUUAACUCAUGUUAAUGUAUGGAUUAUUCUAUUUUAAUGAUAAAUAUAUUGUUUAUUUUGAGGGUUUUCUAACUUUUUACUUUUAGUGUUUCUUUUCAUGAAAGUGCUUAGUUUUUGAGGCGGAUUAUUUUUGAAUGUACAUAUCUGUGAAUAUUAAUUGCACAGAAAAGAGACUUUGAUAUCAACCCGUACAACUAUAUGAAUACUGGUCACUAUAUAAUGGACACUGAUUUUGUAUGCAUGGCAUUGGACGUGUAAGUGCUGCUUGGGUUAAACAGUGAUCCAUUUAUAAUAAAAAUAGAACUGUCUCUAAAGUA
ensembl:lncRNA